GCGAGCGGCGGAUGGGUGAGUAACACGUGGGGAACCUGCCCCUAAGUCUGGGAUACCAUUUGGAAACAGGUGCUAAUACCGGAUAAUAAAGCAGAUCGCAUGAUCAGCUUUUGAAAGGCGGCGUAAGCUGUCGCUAAGGGAUGGCCCCGCGGUGCAUUAGCUAGUUGGUAAGGUAACGGCUUACCAAGGCGACGAUGCAUAGCCAAGUUGAGAGACUGAUCGGCCACAUUGGGACUGAGACACGGCCCAAACUCCUACGGGAGGCAGCAGUAGGGAAUCUUCCACAAUGGACGCAAGUCUGAUGGAGCAACGCCGCGUGAGUGAAGAAGGUUUUCGGAUCGUAAAGCUCUGUUGUUGGUGAAGAAGGAUAGAGGUAGUAACUGGCCUUUAUUUGACGGUAAUCAACCAGAAAGUCACGGCUAACUACGUGCCAGCAGCCGCGGUAAUACGUAGGUGGCAAGCGUUGUCCGGAUUUAUUGGGCGUAAAGCGAGCGCAGGCGGAAAAAUAAGUCUAAUGUGAAAGCCCUCGGCUUAACCGAGGAACUGCAUCGGAAACUGUUUUUCUUGAGUGCAGAAGAGGAGAGUGGAACUCCAUGUGUAGCGGUGGAAUGCGUAGAUAUAUGGAAGAACACCAGUGGCGAAGGCGGCUCUCUGGUCUGCAACUGACGCUGAGGCUCGAAAGCAUGGGUAGCGAACAGGAUUAGAUACCCUGGUAGUCCAUGCCGUAAACGAUGAGUGCUAAGUGUUGGGAGGUUUUCCGCCUCUCA
rnacentral:rRNA from 1 species